rnacentral:rRNA from 1 species
GACGAACGCUGGCGGCGUGCCUAAUACAUGCAAGUAGAACGCUGAAGGAGGAGCUUGCUUCUCCGGAUGAGUUGCGAACGGGUGAGUAACGCGUAGGUAACCUGCCUGGUAGCGGGGGAUAACUAUUGGAAACGACAGCUAAUACCGCAUAACAGUAGAUGUUGCAUGACAUUUGCUUAAAAGGUGCAAUUGCAUCACUACCAGAUGGACCUGCGUUGUAUUAGCUAGUUGGUGAGGUAACGGCUCACCAAGGCGACGAUACAUAGCCGACCUGAGAGGGUGAUCGGCCACACUGGGACUGAGACACGGCCCAGACUCCUACGGGAGGCAGCAGUAGGGAAUCUUCGGCAAUGGACGGAAGUCUGACCGAGCAACGCCGCGUGAGUGAAGAAGGUUUUCGGAUCGUAAAGCUCUGUUGUAAGAGAAGAACGAGUGUGAGAGUGGAAAGUUCACACUGUGACGGUAUCUUACCAGAAAGGGACGGCUAACUACGUG